GACGAACGCUGGCGGCGUGCUUAACACAUGCAAGUGGAGCGACGAACCAGGGCUUGCCCUGGGGCAGAGCCGCGAACGGGUGAGUAACACGUGGGUAACGUGCCCCGAUGAUCGGGACAACCCGGGGAAACCCGGGCUAAUACCGAAUGUGCUCCCCUCACACCAGUGAGGGAUGGAAAGGAAGCUUCGGCCUCCGCAUCGGGAUCGGCCCGCGGCCCAUUAGCUUGUUGGUGAGGUAACGGCUCACCAAGGCUGCGAUGGGUAGCUGGUCUGAGAGGACGAUCAGCCACACUGGGACUGAGACACGGCCCAGACUCCUACGGGAGGCAGCAGUGGGGAAUCUUGCGCAAUGCGCGAAAGCGUGACGCAGCAACGCCGCGUGGGGGAAGACGGCC
rnacentral:rRNA from 1 species